GGGAGCUAGAAAACAUGGAAAAGAAACCAGCAAAUUCAUGGAUUUGGGAGGAAUUUCUGCAAGAUGGGGAAACAUGUGCAGAUCUGAGAAGGUACUAAAUGUGAUGUGGGCGAAGAGAUUGAUAAGCCAUGUCCCUUGUGUAAAAGAGAUAUAUAGGGUCUUUUUUCAAUGCGAGCCAUUUAGUUUGGGAAUCCUCUUUCUACCAAUCUAGACUUGGUGAAGGAUAGGAUACUCCAUUGGAUUUAUU
rnacentral:lncRNA from 1 species